rnacentral:rRNA from 1 species
CCUACGGGAGGCAGCAGGGGGGAAUAUUGGGCAAUGGGCGCAAGCCGGACCCAGCAACGCCGCGGGAAGGAAGAAGGCUUUCGGGUUGUAAACUUCUUUUAAGAGGGAAGAGCAGAAGACGGUACCUCUUGAAUAAGCCACGGCUAACUACGUGCCAGCAGCCGCGGUAAUACGUAGGUGGCAAGCGUUGUCCGGAUUUACUGGGUGUAAAGGGCGUGUGGUCGGGAAGGCAAGUCAGAUGUGAAACCUGGAGGCUCAACCUCCAAAUUGCAUUGGAAACUGUUUUUCUUGAGUACUGGAGAGGCAGGCGGAAUUCCUUGUGUAGCGGUGAAAUGCGUAGAUAUAAGGAGGAACACCAGUGGCGAAGGCGGUCUGCUGGACAGCAACUGACGGUGAGGCGCGAAAGCGUGGGGAGCAAACAGGAUUAGAUACCCGUGUAGUC